rnacentral:hammerhead_ribozyme from 1 species
AUGCAGCUGACGAGUCCAAAAUAGGUCAAAAUGCGCAUCCUGGAU